CCCGCCUUAGCUCAGUUGGAAGAGCGUGGGACUGUAACGGUUACCUGCUUACGUAAUAAGGUAUCCCGAGGCCGCCUGUUCGAACCAGGCAGGCGGGA